ACGGAAGGCAGCAGUGGGGAAUAUUGGGCAAUGGGCGCAAGCCUGACCCAGCAAUGCCGCGUGAAGGAUGAAGGUCUUCGGAUUGUAAACUUCUUUGAUUGGGGAAGAAUAAAUGACCUACCCAAAGAACAAGCUCCGGCUAACUACGUGCCAGCAGCCGCGGUAAUACGUAGGGAGCAAGCGUUAUCCGGAUUUACUGGGUGUAAAGGGCGUGUAGGCGGCUCUGCAAGUCAGAAGUGAAAUCCCCGAGCUUAACUUGGGUGCUGCUUCUGAAGCUGUAGAACUUGAGUACUGGAGGGGAAAGCGGAAUUCCUAGUGUAGCGGUAAAAUGCGUAGAUAUUAGGAGGAACACCAGUGGCGAAGGCGGCCUGCUGGACGACAACUGACGCUGAGGCGCGAAAGCGUGGGGAGCAAACAGGAUUAGAUACCCUGGUA
rnacentral:rRNA from 1 species